AAUGCGUUGAACAAUUCCCAGCCGGAAGGAAUGGCUAUAAUCACCAGUGGGCGAGCGUAUAACGGGAAUGUAAUCUCUCAGCCCCGUUAGACGAGGCAGUUGGCACAAACGACCAAGAAUUGGUCGACCAAACCGUCUGUCUGUUCCCUUUCAGACCGUUGUUGAUUACCAAAUCCUACAGCCCUGUCAUCGAUUCAUUGCGGAUCGUCUAAUUUCCUCUCUUCCUCCAAAUCCUUUGCUUUCGAUUCCUUUCCUAUACUCAUCCAAUAGCCUCCUCGACAAGCUAGGGUUAGGGCGAGUCGCCAGUUAACCUCCGCAGAAUUUUUCCGUUUACGUAAGAAAUAAUUUGAUGAAUCCAUCGCUGUCCAAGUUCUCAAUUUUGGCCUUGUUAUGUCUUGCUGUUGCCAUUUUUGUUCUCUGCUUGCCGAUCGCGCAAUCCAAGCCUGAAGAUGGAGUCGUGAUUCAGCAAAUCACUAGCAAAGAGGGCGGCGGCGGCGGCGGGUGCGCUGGAGUCACCGCUCCAGCGUCAUGUCCAAUCAAUUGCUUCCGCGUCGACCCCGUCUGCGGUGUCGAUGGAGUGACAUACUGGUGUGGGUGUGCUGAUGCUUUGUGCGCUGGUACUCCGGUCGCUAAAUUAGGGGCUUGUGAGCUGGACAAUGGUGGCAACGGUUCUCUUCCUCGUCAGGCGCUUCUUUUGGUCCAUAUUCUCUGGCUGAUAUUACUCGGUUUUUCUUUGCUAUUUGGUCUUUUCUAAUUUGAAAGAAGCAAAAUUUAUCUUUCCUUUUAUUCUUUUGCUGCUGUUGUAUGAGGCCGGUUUGGCAUAGUUAGACAUUGUGCGAGAGAUUUCUUUCAUGUAUGUGUAGUAGAAAUUCUUGAAUUAAUAACAACUGCAAUAUGAUUCUUUGCAUUCUUUCCCUUGGUUUCAUCACUCUGCUGGAAUAAUAUAAAUUGAAAGUCUGUUGCGGCAGAUGUGUCAUUUCAACCAUUACACCUGUUGCAACUCAAUAAGUUUUCCAUGACAAUAAGACUUUGGGUUGGUGCGAUAAAUAAUGCAUAUGGGCAAUUUAUUUAUUGAACAGCAGCUUUAUGUUCUUAUUAAUCUUUAUGCCUUAAUCCUUAGAGUGGAGAUUUUGCCCUAAGAUUUAUGUGCCUAGCUUUAUCUUGCACUUGCAAUCCCAGGGUUAACUAAAACAUACAAGAUACAACAUUCUGAUUGUAACAUCUCCGUGAAGAAGACAAGUGCAAAGCUUAAAUGAAUCAGGUAAUGAGCUAUUUCUUACAUGUACCUUAUUGAAACACAAAUAAUUUAGCUUCAACCCCUGAUUGUUCUUUUGCCAAAUUAGAUUCUUAACAAAUUCCAUUCUUACCUAAAAAAAGAAGGGGAGUAGUUUUAGUACAUUUUGAUCAAUAGUAGGCUAGGGCUUCAAAAUUAGUUGAAUGCAUUUUCUUGAUGUUAUGUUUCUACUGAAUGAUAAUAUUGAAAUUCAUGAUAUUGGAAGUUCUGGCAGAUCUUCCUUCAAACCCAGAACACAAGAACCAUACCAUCUCUAAGCACUCCACGCAUCUGCAUGCAAUUAAACCAGAUGACACAUAAUAGGACUUUUAGUGUUAAUCAGUGCAUACAUGGCUAGCAAUUGUCAUCUGGUUUUUUAAUCUGUCCCAUUAGUUCUUCUGGUUAACAACAGCACCAGAAUUUGCUGGGAAACAUUCAAGAUGGCACCUUAUGUAAUGCAUUCUGGGUUAAAAAUUUAAGGUCAUUUCCUAUAGGAAUAUAUUCCUGGAACACUGUCUGGUAAUUCUUCAACCAACCUAAUAAGCAAAUUUACCUCAAAAGGAAUCAUAUUUUUU
rnacentral:misc_RNA from 1 species